GACGAACGCUGGCGGCGUGCUUAACACAUGCAAGUCGAACGGAAAGGCCCUGCUUUUGUGGGGUUCUCGAGUGGCGAACGGGUGAGUAACACGUGAGUAACCUGCCCUUGACUUUGGGAUAACUUCAGGAAACGGGGGCUAAUACCGGAUAGGAGCUCCUGCUGCAUGGGGGUGGUUGGAAAGUUUCGGCGGUUGGGGAUGGACGCGCGGCUUAUCAGCUUGUUGGUGGGGUAGUGGCUUACCAAGGCUUUGACGGGUAGCCGGCCUGAGAGGGUGACCCGCCACAUUGGGACUGAGAUACGGACCAGAGUGCUACGGGAGGCAGCAGUGGGAAAUAUUGCACAAUGGGCGGAAGCCUGAUGCAGCAAUGCCGCGUGCGGGAUGCCGGCCUUCGGGUUGUAAAGCGCUUUCGCCUGUGACGAAGCGUGAGUGACGGUAAUGGGUAAAGAAGCACCGGCUAACUACGUG
rnacentral:rRNA from 1 species